UGGGGAAUCUUGCGCAAUGGCCGAAAGGCUGACGCAGCGACGCCGCGUGGAGGAUGACGCCCUUCGGGUUGUAAACUCCUGUUGCCCGGGACGAAUACCCGUUUCGACGGGGGGGACGGUACCGGGGGAGGAAGCACCGGCUACCUCUGUGCCAGCAGCGGCGGUAAUACAGGGGGUGCGAGCGUUGUCAGGGUUUAUUGGGUUUAAAGGGUGCGUAGGCGGCGAAGUAGGUCAGUGGUGAAAUCCUUC
rnacentral:rRNA from 1 species